CUAAAGCGUGCACGAGUCGGAGGGCUCGCAGCCAUAACCCGCGGCGCAAUGAAGGUGAGCCUUUUUGGCACCCCAGUCGAGGUGGGAUCCCACCGCCCCGCGCGGCAAAGGGUGCACCACCGGCCCGUCUCGCUGGCCCCGUCCGGGAGGUGGAGCGUGAGCGCGUGCAAUAGGACCCGAAAGAUGGUGAACUAUGCCUGGGCAGGGCGAAGCCAGAGGAAACUCUGGUGGAGGUCCGCAGCGUUCCUGACGUGCAAAUCAGUCAUCCGACCUGGGUAUAGGGGCGAAAGACUAAUCGAACCGUCUAGUAGCUGG